GUUGCUUUGGUCAUUGAUGUAUCCCAAACUCCUGAUGCAUAGUAGACGCUCAGUAAACAUUUGUAGAAUAAAUGAAUGAAGGAGUGACCAUUUUCCCAACUUCCUAAGAAGAACUUUGGGUUGUUUCUUCUCCUACUUACCUCUGUCACAAUUUGAUUUCGAGAGAAUCUUAAAGCUGAUUAGGGCAGAAGUCGAGCCCACAUCUUUGAGUUUCAACUUGACCUUGGGUGGGAAUGACGGGUAAUGCUUUCCCCCACGUUGAAGUGCAGAAGGAGGAAAUGAAUUCUUCAAGCCUGGCUCCUCUGCCCAGCCCCUGCCCUCAGUUUCUGGCUCUUCCAGGGGGCUGAGCAGAGGAGAAAGGGAUAAGGCAAAGUGAAGAAGGGGAGCCCAGGAAGGGGUCUCUGAAUUGGUUUGCAUUUCUCAGAAGUGUUAGACAAAUGCAGCACUUCUGAAAAAUACAAAUUAAUUCAGACUCCAAGGAGGGGCAUCAACACGCAGGCACUAAGGUGUUUUUUUUUUUAAUUUUUUUUUUUUUUUUGGGAGACUCACUCUGUCACCCAGGCUGGAGUGCAGUGGCAUGAUCUCGGCUCACUGCCACCUCCACCUCCCGGGUUCAAGCGAUUUUCCUUCCUCAGUCUCCUGAGUACCUAGGAUUGCAAGCGCCCACCCACAUGCCUGGAUAAUUUUUGUAUUUUUAGUAGACAUGGGGUUUCACCAUGUUGUCCAGGCUGGUCUUGAACUCCUGACCUCAAGUGAUCCACCUACCUCAGCCUCCCAAAGUGCUGCGAUUAUAGGCGUGAACCACCAGUCAAGGUGAUUUUUUUUCAAUUUAAAUUAAGAUGAUUUUCUGUCUCUCCCACCUAUAACUUCUCUGCCUCUGGCCAGGUUUUCAAACCCAACCCAGGUCCAUCAACAGUACAUGACAAAGAGUUGAAAUGCAAUGCGGUGGCUUCAUUUGCCGAGCUGGACUUCCACCUCGCCUUCUAACUUGGCUGUUGGACUUGGACUUCCGUGUCACCUUUUGAUUGUGUGUUGCCAGCAGCUCUGGAGCUGCUGUCGUCUCCUUUGCCAAGGAGGAAGUUUGCAUCUGAACGUUCCAUCCCCUCGGUGGCUUUUCCCACGGUCUGGGCCGUGCCAAGAUGUAAAUAUCACCCAGGAGUGCUGA
rnacentral:lncRNA from 13 species